rnacentral:rRNA from 1 species
AUGGCCCCCUCCGCCGGCGACGCCGCCGCCGUUCCGCGGUACCUUGCUUGGGUUCUCCUCGAAAAGGAGGGGUACGACGACGACCGCGACGACGCCACCAGCGCUGCGUGCAAGACGACCGCCGGCCGCGACGUCAGGGUGGGCUUCUACCUCGUGCCCCCGCCGAAGAUCUCCUACUUCCACGUCCACCUCUCCAAGCUCGAGGGCGAGGACGAGGACGACUUCGACUUCACGCCCCUGUUUCUCUUCUCGGCCAAGGGCCUCGUCCUCUUCCGUGUCCUCUUCGUCACCCGAAGAGAAGGAAGCAAUCUCGUCGAGUACUUCAUCUACAAGGCCGGGCGCGGCGGCGGCCCGUCGCUCGAACCCAUCCCGCCAACUCCUCUGGGCAGCGGCAGGGAUUCGGUAUCCGUGAGCAUCGUUCCCUGCCCCGACGGCGACGACAGCUACGUCCUCGCCGAUCUCUCUGUGCGGAGUGAAAUUGGGCACUACGACCUCCACCUUUACUCGUCCAAGACGCGCGAGUGGAGCACCACGCCGUUGCAGCUGCCGGCAUCUCCUGCCGUCAGGACAAAUGACGACCUGCCCUGUCAAUUCCACAAGGCUACCGGGCUUGCAGCAGACGAGGUAGGCUGGGUAGACCUCCGGCGUGGCAUUGUCACGUGCAAGGUGCUUGAUAAAGACCCACUUCUCCGACUCAUCCCUCUUCCCAAACCGCACGUGGACAUCCUGCAAGGCGAACCGGGGUUGAUCCGGGAUGUCACCUACGGCAAUGGGCUCUUCGAGUUCAUUGAGAUGCAACAUUUUUGCAGACCAGUUAAUGUUGUUAGUAGUAUCAUCCAUGAUUCCAAGCCCCUCCUUGGACUUGUAGUGGAUGAAGGUAUUACGGUCCCUGAUGGUUGGGUCAUACCAAUGACCUAA